rnacentral:pre_miRNA from 1 species
ACUGUUUACAUCUUACCGGGCAGCAUUAGAUUGAUUUUAAGUAAUUCUAAUACUGUCAGGUAAUGAUGUCCUCAGGC